GUGGGGAAUCUUAGACAAUGGGCGCAAGCCUGAUCUAGCCAUGCCGCGUGAGCGAUGAAGGCCUUAGGGUUGUAAAGCUCUUUCAGGGGGGAAGAUAAUGACGGUACCCCCAGAAGAAGCCCCGGCUAACUCCGUGCCAGCAGCCGCGGUAAUACGGAGGGGGCUAGCGUUGUUCGGAAUUACUGGGCGUAAAGCGCACGUAGGCGGACCAGAAAGUCAGGGGUGAAAUCCCGGGGCUCAACCCAGGAACUGCCUUUGAAACUCCUGGUCUUGAGGUCGAGAGAGGUGAGUGGAAUUCCGAGUGUAGAGGUGAAAUUCGUAGAUAUUCGGAGGAACACCAGUGGCGAAGGCGGCUCACUGGCUCGAUACUGACGCUGAGGUGCGAAAGCGUGGGGAGCAAACAGGAUUAGAUACCCGGGUAGUCC
rnacentral:rRNA from 1 species